rnacentral:rRNA from 1 species
UACGUAGGGAGCAAGCGUUGUCCGGAAUUACUGGGCGUAAAGGGCGCGUAGGUGGGUGCUUAAGUCAGGUGUGAAAACUCUGGGCUCAACCUGGAGACUGCACUUGAAACUGGGUAUCUUGAGGGCAGGAGAGGAAAGUGGAAUUCCUAGUGUAGCGGUGAAAUGCGUAGAUAUUAGGAGGAACACCAGUGGCGAAGGCGACUUUCUGGACUGUACCUGACGCUGAGGCGCGAAAGCGUGGGUAGCGAACGGG